rnacentral:tRNA from 1 species
AAUUAUGAAGCGAUAACGCGUUCAGUUUCGACCUGAAAGAAGGAAAAAGUUUCCCAUAAUUU